ACCCGAACCAUUUGUACUUUGAACUUAGAUCAAAGGUAAAUGUUUUCUACAGGAAAAUUGCAGACUGAUGUAUAAUUUAUAAUCAAAUUUCCACAUGCUAAUGUUAAAAGGCACUUUUUUUCUAUUCCAUACCAACAUUUGUAUCUGCAUGUUGUCAAACUACUGAGCCUUUUCCUGUUCGGAGCACUUUGAAGCAGGAGUUACAAUCUUUCAUACAGUCUUUGCUAAUAUAGCUUUGUUCAGACGCAAUAAAAUGGAUCCUUGCUUUGAUUUGACAAUACAAAUGAGUGCUUAUUCUUAAAUAUGUGACAGAGAGAUUAUAGCUUGCCUAUCAAACCUAUUCAUUGCAGUGAUCCAGACUACAGGUCCAUUAGGAGACAAUAAAUUAAUAAAUGUAAGGAUGCACUUCAACAUUUUU